AGAGCGAACGCUGGCGGCAUGCUUAACACAUGCAAGUCGCACGGGCAGGGGCAACUCUGUCAGUGGCGGACGGGUGAGUAACGCGUAGGUAUCUAUCCUUGGGUGGGGGACAACUGUGGGAAACUACAGCUAAUACCGCAUGAUGACCGAGGUCUAAAGGCGUCCGGGGUAACCUGGUGCGUCGCCUGAGGAGGAGCCUGCGUACGAUUAGCUAGUUGGUGGGGUAAAGGCCUACCAAGGCGACGAUCGUUAGCUGGUCUGAGAGGAUGAUCAGCCACAUUGGGACUGAGACACGGCCCAAACUCCUACGGGAGGCAGCAGUGGGGAAUAUUGGACAAUGGGCGCAAGCCUGAUCCAGCAAUGCCGCGUGUGUGAAGAAGGUCUUCGGAUUGUAAAGCACUUUCGACGGGACGAUGAUGACGGUACCCGUAGAAGAAGCCCCGGCUAACUUCGCGCCAGCAGCCGC
rnacentral:rRNA from 1 species